CUGUCUUCAAGUCGUACUCUUUCUUAAUCUCCCUCAAUUUUUGAAUUUCCAAGAAUCUCUUAGAUCUUGUCUGGUGAGACACGGAAACAACAUAUAAUCAUAAAAUAAACAGGAUAAACAUAUCAUCAACCAUGAAAAAUUCAAUGAUUCAAACAAUCAAAUUGAUCUUAGAAAGAAACAAAUGGCUAUCUUAUAACAUUUACUCCAUGUCACUAGAGGAUGCAAAGUAGGCAAUCAAAUGUGCUAGAAUACAAAGACCAACCAAUCGAAAAUCUUGCAUAGAAUGGUUGGACAGACAUCACAGGAACUACUGUUCGCAUUCUGACCCUCACGCACAAAUUAAAAACCCUUGAAACUUCAGAAGAUAUAUGAAAGUAAAUAACAUUAAAUGGAAUUGUUUAUUCUACCAAAAAGAAAGUAGGCAAGCAAAUUUAUUUUUUCUUUAAAUCAUUUCAUUUAAGUUUUCAACAUAUGGAAGUGUGAGCAGCUUGUGCAAAACCUGACGACGCCGGCGUACCACAUGGAGGCGAGACCGGCGUUCGAAGGGAGGGAGAGAAUGAACGUGAGUCGUGAAAUAACGAAACGAAGGCCAGGGUUCAUGGAAUUGUGAGUUCUGAAUGAGUGAGGAGUGGACCGUGGUCAAAAUUAAGGUUUUAUUCGUUUAACAUAAUUGGGCGUUAUAUAAAAUAUCCUGACCCUAGUACGAAACCCAAACGAGCAGNNUUUACGAUCUUGCUUCAAAACGCUUGAUCUUGACCAUGAAACCCUUGCCAGCAAUCUUCACAGAACCACUACAUGUUUCGAUAGCUGGGGAUCAAGAUCGUACGAUCCUACCACCAAGCGCUCAAUCUUGGAUACCAUGCUUAAGAGGAUGUAAAACAGAAGCCAAGAGAAACAAAACCCGUCUACUCCCAAAAUAAAAUAAAAAACAGUUCAAUCAUUUUUCACUAUCUUAUCUUAUCUUAUCAUUAUAUUAUUUCUUAAAGCUUGUUUCUAGUGCUACAACCACAACGUUGGACGUAGGUGGCCAUUGCGCUUCAUCUAAAGGGACGAACUCAGCCGGUAAUAGCUAAUAAUAAUACUAAGAGUUAGCUAUGUCUUUAGUCCUUGCACCCAUUUCUCAGUCCAUCCAUCCUACAAAUUAGAAAACUACUUGUAUAUAAUCCUAAAGCGGGAUUAAGGGCCUAUUUUGAUUGACUUAUUUGAACUCAUCUAGUAGCAUAAGUUCUGUGAGACUAUUUGAGGAAACUUAUGAAAACAACUUAUAAUAUUUUUGCAUAAGUUUUUUCCAGCUUAUUUUCAUAAGUUCUCCCAUAUAACUUAUGAAAACAGCAAGUUGCAUAUAUAAAAAAACAACUUACCUUUACUUAAUUUUUUGCUCUAAAAAUAGCUUAUCUAAACUGCAAAUAAGUUGUUUAUCCAAACAGACCCUAAAAGAAUACAAUUUGUAGGACUAAGAAGUUAGUACAACGAUUAAAAUCAAAAUUCAAAAUUGAAUUAAUCAUAUACACAUAUAUAUAACCCUAACACUAAUACUCAUUGAAACCAAAACCCCAAUAACAGACAGUUAUCAAAAUUCAAGCCAAAACCCAUCAACAAAAACAAGAAAACAAUGAAAUUAAAUACCAAAAGAAUAGAAUUUGAAGAUACCCUAUCACUCUUAAGAAGCAAUGCAGCUUUUCCUUUCUUAGGCUUAGUAGUAACAACAACAGUGUUAGUAGCACCACCAUCCUCUUCCUCAACACCAUCCUCCUCAUCUUCAUCAACAGUUUCCGCUACAUCAGUAGCAACAGCAGCAGCAGCAAUGGAAAAACAAGACUUAGAUUGAUAACUUAGAUUAACCGACUUAGAAGAUUUGAAAACAAGAGGAGAUAAAAAGAAGGUUCUAGAAAUUCUAAGAGAAGAAGAAGAAGAAGAAGAAGAAUGGUCUUGUGAAUUUAUGAUGAUGGAAGAAGUAGGGUGAGUUAACAUGAGUGAUGAUGAAGGUGAAGCGGUACAUGAAGCCAUUGUUGUGUUUGGAAACAGAGUGUGGUGAUGGAAGAUGGACAUUGAUUCG
rnacentral:lncRNA from 1 species